rnacentral:rRNA from 1 species
UGGGGAAUUUUGGACAAUGGGCGAAAGCCUGAUCCAGCAAUGCCGCGUGUGUGAAGAAGGCCUUCGGGUUGUAAAGCACUUUUGUCCGGAAAGAAAUCCUUGGCUCUAAUACAGUCGGGGGAUGACGGUACCGGAAGAAUAAGCACCGGCUAACUACGUGCCAGCAGCCGCGGUAAUACGUAGGGUGCAAGCGUUAAUCGGAAUUACUGGGCGUAAAGCGUGCGCAGGCGGUUUGCUAAGACCGAUGUGAAAUCCCCGGGCUCAACCUGGGAACUGCAUUGGUGACUGGCAGGCUAGAGUAUGGCAGAGGGGGGUAGAAUUCCACGUGUAGCAGUGAAAUGCGUAGAGAUGUGGAGGAAUACCGAUGGCGAAGGCAGCCCCCUGGGCCAAUACUGACGCUCAUGCACGAAAGCGUGGGGGAGCAAAACAGGAUUAGAUACCCUGGUAGUCCACGCCCUAAACGAUGUCAACUAGUUGUUGGGGGAUUCAUUUCCUUAGUAACGUAGCUAACGCGUGAAGUUGACCGCCUGGGGAGUACGGUCGCAAGAUUAAAACUUAAAGGAAUUGACGGGGUCAUAGCUGUUUCCU